rnacentral:ncRNA from 1 species
CUUGGACCGAUCCUUGCUCGCGGGGAUUCGGUGGCUAUCCUGACCGCCUAUCCGUCAGGAAACC